rnacentral:rRNA from 1 species
AGUGGGGAAUAUUGGACAAUGGGGGCAACCCUGAUCCAGCCAUGCCGCGUGUGUGAAGAAGGCCUUUUGGUUGUAAAGCACUUUAAGCAGUGAAGAAGACCUAACGGUUAAUACCCGUUAGCGAUGACAUUAGCUGCAGAAUAAGCACCGGCUAACUCUGUGCCAGCAGCCGCGGUAAUACAGAGGGUGCAAGCGUUAAUCGGAAUUACUGGGCGUAAAGCGAGCGUAGGUGGCUUGAUAAGUCAGAUGUGAAAUCCCCGGGCUUAACCUGGGAACUGCAUCUGAUACUGUUAAGCUAGAGUAGGUGAGAGGGAAGUAGAAUUCCAGGUGUAGCGGUGAAAUGCGUAGAGAUCUGGAGGAAUACCGAUGGCGAAGGCAGCUUCCUGGCAUCAUACUGACACUGAGGCUCGAAAGCGUGGGUAGCAAA